CUUCACCGACCCCAACCACAACGGCCGGCCCCCGGGGCGGUCUUGGCCGUACGUCGCGAUCAGCGCCUGCGCCUC
rnacentral:antisense_RNA from 1 species